rnacentral:rRNA from 1 species
CACAACGUACCUUUAACUGGGGGAUAGCAUUUGGAAACGAGUGGUAAUACCGCAUGUGGUUGUAGGGAGGCAUCUUUUGCAACUAAACUCAGGUGGUUAAAGAUCGGUGUGCGUCCGAUUAGCUUGUUGGUGAGGUAAUGGCGUCACCAAGGCGACGAUCGGUAGGGGCGUGAGAGCGUGAACCCCCACACGGGUACUGAGACACGGACCCGACUCCUACGGGAGGCAGCAGUAAGGAAUAUUGGUCAAUGGAGGCAACUCUGAACCAGCCAUGCCGCGUGAAGGAAGAAGGCGCUAUGCGUUGUAAACUUCUUUUGGGUGGGAAGAAAAUGGUCAAUUUAUUGGCAACUGACGGUACCAUCAGAAUAAGCACCGGCUAACUCCGUG